GAAUGCUGACAUAAGUAACGAUAAAGCGGGUGAAAAGCCCGCUCGCCGGAAGACCAAGGGUUCCUGUCCAACGUUAAUCGGGGCAGGGUGAGUCGACCCCUAAGGCGAGGCCGAAAGGCGUAGUCGAUGGGAAACGGGUUAAUAUUCCCGUACUUGGUGUUACUGCGAAGGGGGGACGGAGAAGGCUAUGUUGGCCGGGCGACGGUUGUCCCGGUUUAAGCGUGUAGGUGUGUGUUCCAGGUAAAUCCGGUUCACUUUAACACUGAGGCGUGACGACGAGGCACUACGGUGCUGAAGCAACAAAUGCCCUGCUUCCAGGAAAAGCCUCUAAGCAUCAGGUAACACGAAAUCGUACCCCAAACCGACACAGGUGGUCAGGUAGAGAAUACCAAGGCGCUUGAGAGAACUCGGGUGAAGGAACUAGGCAAAAUGGUGCCGUAACUUCGGGAGAAGGCACGCUGACACGUAGGUGAAGUGAUUUACUCAUGGAGCUGAAGUCAGUCGAAGAUACCAGCUGGCUGCAACUGUUUAUUAAAAACACAGCACUGUGCAAACACGAAAGUGGACGUAUACGGUGUGACGCCUGCCCGGUGCCGGAAGGUUAAUUGAUGGGGUCAGCGCAAGCGAAGCUCCUGAUCGAAGCCCCGGUAAACGGCGGCCGUAACUAUAACGGUCCUAAGGUAGCGAAAUUCCUUGUCGGGUAAGUUCCGACCUGCACGAAUGGCGUAAUGAUGGCCAGGCUGUCUCCACCCGAGACUCAGUGAAAUUGAACUCGCUGUGAAGAUGCAGUGUACCCGCGGCAAGACGGAAAGACCCCGUGAACCUUUACUAUAGCUUGACACUGAACAUUGAGCCUUGAUGUGUAGGAUAGGUGGGAGGCUUUGAAGUGUGGACGCCAGUCUGCAUGGAGCCGACCUUGAAAUACCACCCUUUAAUGUUUGAUGUUCUAACGUGGACCCGUAAUCCGGGUUGCGGACAGUGUCUGGUGGGUAGUUUGACUGGGGCGGUCUCCUCCUAAAGAGUAACGGAGGAGCACGAAGGUUGGCUAAUCCUGGUCGGACAUCAGGAGGUUAGUGCAAUGGCAUAAGCCAGCUUGACUGCGAGCGUGACGGCGCGAGCAGGUGCGAAAGCAGGUCAUAGUGAUCCGGUGGUUCUGAAUGGAAGGGCCAUCGCUCAACGGAUAAAAGGUACUCCGGGGAUAACAGGCUGAUACCGCCCAAGAGUUCAUAUCGACGGCGGUGUUUGGCACCUCGAUGUCGGCUCAUCACAUCCUGGGGCUGAAGUAGGUCCCAAGGGUAUGGCUGUUCGCCAUUUAAAGUGGUACGCGAGCUGGGUUUAGAACGUCGUGAGACAGUUCGGUCCCUAUCUGCCGUGGGCGCUGGAGAACUGAGGGGGGCUGCUCCUAGUACGAGAGGACCGGAGUGGACGCAUCACUGGUGUUCGGGUUGUCAUGCCAAUGGCACUGCCCGGUAGCUAAAUGCGGAAGAGAUAAGUGCUGAAAGCAUCUAAGCACGAAACUUGCCCCGAGAUGAGUUCUCCCUGAGACUUAGAGUCUCCUGAAGGAACGUUGAAGACGACGACGUUGAUAGGCC
rnacentral:rRNA from 1 species